UGAGUGGCAUUAACUAAAUAAGUUAAAACUUUCAACAACGGAUCUCUUGGCUCUAGCAUCGAUGAAGAACGCAGCGAAAUGCGAUAAGUAAUGUGAAUUGCAGAAUUCAGUGAAUCAUCGAAUCUUUGAACGCACAUUGCGCCUGGCAGUAUUCUGCCAGGCAUGCCUGUCCGAGCGUCAUUUCACCACUCAAGCUCUGCUUGGUGUUGGAGGACCCGCGUUUAGUCGCGGGCCGCCGAAAUGCAUCGGCUGUUGUAUAUACAGCUUCCCUGUGUAGUAAAUGCUUAGCUUUACACUUUGAAACUUUUAUAUAACAUGCCAGAAAAC
rnacentral:misc_RNA from 1 species